UACGUAGGGUGCAAGCGUUAAUCGGAAUUACUGGGCGUAAAGCGUGCGCAGGCGGUUUUGUAAGACUGUCGUGAAAUCCCCGGGCUUAACCUGGGAAUUGCGAUGGUGACUGCAAGGCUAGAGUUUGGCAGAGGGGGGUAGAAUUCCACGUGUAGCAGUGAAAUGCGUAGAUAUCAAGAGGAACACCUGCGGCGAAGGCGGGUUGCUGGGCCGACACUGACGCUGAGGCGCGAAAGCCAGGGGAGUGAACGGG
rnacentral:rRNA from 1 species